GUCUACAGCUAUGCAACCCUGAACAAGCCUGAUCCUGUCUGAUUUUGGAAGCUAAGUAGGGUCUGGCCUGGUUAGUACUUGGGUGGGAGACCACGUAGGAAGACCAGGUGCUAUAGGCA
ensembl:rRNA 5S_rRNA 5S ribosomal RNA